AACCUAUGGUGAGGGCACCUUCUCAAUAAGUCCUUAUGCCUCUCUCAUGCAUCAUAUGGAGUCUCUAAGUCGAUUUGAACAAAGGAAAAGAUAUCAUUACUCAGUCU
rnacentral:snoRNA from 1 species